rnacentral:rRNA from 1 species
ACGGCCUGGGCGACACACGUGCUACAAUGCCCACUACAAAGCGAUGCCACCCGGCAACGGGGAGCUAAUCGCAAAAAGGUGGGCCCAGUUCGGAUUGGGGUCUGCAACCCGACCCCAUGAAGCCGGAAUCGCUAGUAAUCGCGGAUCAGCCAUGCCGCGGUGAAUACGUUCCCGGGCCCUU